rnacentral:rRNA from 1 species
UACGGGGGGGGCAAGCGUUGUUCGGAAUUACUGGGCGUAAAGGGCUCGUAGGCGGCCCUCUCAGUCGGAUGUGAAAUCCCCAGGCUCAACUUGGGAACGGCAUCCGAUACUGGAGGGCUUGAAUUCGGGAGAGGGAUGCAGAAUUCCAGGUGUAACGGUGAAAUGCGUAGAUAUCUGGAGGAAUACCGGUGGCGAAGGCGGCAUCCUGGACCGAGAUUGACGCUGAGGAGCGAAAGCUAGGGGAGCAAACGGG